AACUGCGAGUGAAGCGGGAAAAGCUCAAAUUUAAAAUCUGGCGGUCUUUGGCCACCCGAGUUGUAAUUUAGAGAAGCGUCUUCCGCGCCGGACCGUGCACAAGUCUCCUGGAAUGGAGCGUCAUAGAGGGUGAGAAUCCCGUCUUUGGCAUGGAUACCCGGGGCUUCUGUGAUGCGCUCUCGAAGAGUCGAGUUGUUUGGGAAUGCAGCUCAAAAUGGGUGGUGAACUCCAUCUAAAGCUAAAUAUUGGCGAGAGACCGAUAGCGAACAAGUACCGUGAGGGAAAGAUGAAAAGCACUUUGGAAAGAGAGUGAAACAGUACGUGAAAUUGUUGAAAGGGAAACGCUUGAAGUCAGUCGCGUCGGACGAGACUCAGCCUUGCCUUGGCUUGGUGUACUUCUCGGCCUGACGGGUCAGCAUCAAUUUUGCCCCUCAGAUAAUGGCAAGGGAAAGGUGGCACCUUCACGGGUGUGUUAUAGUCUCCUGUCGCAUGUGAGGGGUGGGAUUGAGGAACUCAGCACGCGCCUCGGCGUCGGGGCUUCG
rnacentral:rRNA from 2 species